CUUGACAAACCUAUAAGAGGUCCAGCCUGCCCAGUGACUCUGUUCAACGGCCGCGGUAUCCUAACCGUGCGAAGGUAGCGUAAUCACUUGUUCUUUAAAUGAGGACUAGUAUGAAUGGCACCACGAAGGUUAUACUGUCUCCUUUUUCUAAUCAGUGAAACUAAUCUUCCCGUGAAGAAACGGGAAUAAAAAUAUAAGACGAGAAGACCCUAUGGAGCUUUAAACAAAUAUACACCUGCCUCUUUACCAAAAAUUUCAGAAGACAAGUAAUUACCCGGGCAUUUUGAUAUAGCGUUUUAGGUUGGGGUGACCGCGGAGCAAAAAAUAACCUCCGCAGCGAACGGGAGUAUUCCCUAAACCAAGGGCCACAACCCUAAGUAUUAAUAAAUUAACACUAAUUGACCCAAUAAAUUUGAUCAAUGGAC
rnacentral:rRNA from 1 species